rnacentral:rRNA from 1 species
AUAUUGGUCAAUGGGCGAGAGCCUGAACCAGCCAAGUCGCGUGAAGGACGACGGUUCUAUGGAUUGUAAACUUCUUUUGUAGAGGAAUAAUGGCAGCUACGUGUAGCUGAGAUGCAUGUACUCUACGAAUAAGUAUCGGCUAACUCCGUGCCAGCAGCCGCGGUAAUACGGAGGAUACGAGCGUUAUCCGGAAUUAUUGGGUUUAAAGGGUGCGUAGGUGGCGUAUUAAGUCAGUGGUGAAAAGCUGCAGCUCAACUGUAGUCUUGCCGUUGAAACUGAUAUGCUAGAGAGGAGACGAGGUAUGCGGAAUGUGUGGUGUAGCGGUGAAAUGCAUAGAUAUCACACAGAACGCCGAUUGCGAAGGCAGCGUACCAGGCUCCGUCUGACACUGAAGCACGAAAGCGUGGGGAUCAAACAGGAUUAGAUACCCUGGUAGUCCACGCAGUAAACGAUGAAUACUAGAUUUUUGCGAUAUAGUGUAAGAGUCUAAGCGAAAGCGAUAAGUAUUCCACCUGGGGAGUACGCCGGCAACGGUGAAACUCAAAGGAAUUGACGGGGGCCCGCACAAGCGGAGGAACAUGUGGUUUAAUUCGAUGAUACGCGAGGAACCUUACCCGGGCUUGAAUUGCAGAGGAAGGAUUUAGAGAUAAUGACGCCCUUCGGGGUCUCUGUGAAGGUGCUGCAUGGUUGUCGUCAGCUCGUGCCGUGAGGUGUCGGCUUAAGUGCCAUAACGAGCGCAACCCCUGUCUACGGUUGCCAUCAGGUAAUGCUGGGAACUCCGUAGAGACUGCCGUCGUAAGGCGUGAGGAAGGUGGGGAUGACGUCAAAUCAGCACGGCCCUUACAUCCGGGGCGACACACGUGUUACAAUGGUAAGGACAAAGGGCAGCUACCUGGCGACAGGAUGCGAAUCUCUAAACCUUAUCACAGUUCGGAUCGGAGUCUGCAACUCGACUCCGUGAAGCUGGAUUCGCUAGUAAUCGCGCAUCAGCCAUGGCGCGGUGAAUACGUUCCCGGGCCUUGUACACACCGCCCGUCAAGCCAUGAAAGCCGGGGGUGCCUGAAGUCCGUGACCGCAAGGAUCGGCCUAGGGCAAAACUGGUGAUUGGGGCUAAGUCGUAACAAGGUAGCCGUACCGGAAGGUGCGGCUG